rnacentral:rRNA from 1 species
UACGUAGGGGGCAAGCGUUGUCCGGAAUCAUUGGGCGUAAAGCGCGUGUAGGCGGCCCGAUUAGUCCGCUGUGAAAGUCCAGGGCUCAACCCUGGGAUGCCGGUGGAUACUGUCGGGCUCGAGUCCGGAAGAGGCGAGUGGAAUUCCUGGUGUAGCGGUGAAAUGCGCAGAUAUCAGGAGGAACACCAAUUGCGAAGGCAGCUCGCUGGGACGUAACUGACGCUGAGACGCGAAAGCGUGGGGAGCAAACAGG